UUAGGAAUCUUCCCCAAUAGCCCCUAGCCUGACGGUACCCUUCGAGGAAGCCCCGGCUAACUACGUGCCAGCAGCCGCGGUAAUACGUAGGGGGCGAGCGUUGUCCGGAAUUAUUGGGCGUAAAGAGCGUGUAGGCGGCCUCGUAAGUCUGCCGUGAAAACCUGGGGCUCAACCCUGGGCGUGCGGUGGAUACUGCUAGGCUAGAGGAUGGUAGAGGCGAGUGGAAUUCCCGGUGUAGCGGUGAAAUGCGCAGAUAUCGGGAGGAACACCAGUAGCGAAGGCGGCUCGCUGGGCCAUUCCUGACGCUGAGACGCGAAAGCGUGGGGAGCAAACAGGAUUAGAUACCCCGGUAGUCC
rnacentral:rRNA from 1 species